rnacentral:tRNA from 1 species
UAGCUCAGCUGGUUCAGAGCAUCUGCCUUACAAGCAGAGGGUCGGCGGUUCGAAUCCGUCAACGCCCACAA